AACACAUGCAAGUCGAACGGGAUCUUCGGAUCUAGUGGCAGACGGGUGAGUAACGCGUGGGAACCUGCCCAGUAGUAGAGAAUAACUUGAGGAAACUUAAGCUAAUACUUUAUACACCCUUCGGGGAAAAGCUUUAUGCGCUAUUGGAUGGGCCCGCGUUAGAUUAGUUUGUUGGUGAGGUAAUGGCUCACCAAGACUACGAUCUAUAGCUGGUCUGAGAGGAUGAUCAGCCACACUGGGACUGAGACACGGCCCAGACUCCUACGGGAGGCAGCAGUGGGGAAUAUUGGACAAUGGGGGCAACCCUGAUCCAGCGAUGCCGCGUGAGUGAUGAAGGCCUUCGGGUUGUAAAACUCUUUCGUCAGGGAAGAUAAUGACGGUACCUGAAGAAGAAGAUCCGGCUAACUCCGUGCCAGCAGCCGCGGUAAUACGGAGGGAUCUAGCGUUAUUCGGAAUUACUGGGCGUAAAGCGAGCGUAGGCGGAUUUGUAAGUUGGAGGUGAAAUCCCAGAGCUUAACUCUGGAACUGCCUUCAAAACUACAUUUCUUGAGUUUGGUAGAGGAGAGUGGAAUUCCUAGUGUAGAGGUGAAAUUCGUAGAUAUUAGGAGGAACACCAGUGGCGAAGGCGACUCUCUGGGCCAAUACUGACGCUGAGGUUCGAAAGCAUGGGUAGCGAACAGGAUUAGAUACCCUGGUAGUCCAUGCAGUAAACGAUGAGUGCUAGAUGUUGGGAAUUUAAAUUUCCAGUAUCGCAGUUAACGCGUUAAGCACUCCGCCUGGGAAG
rnacentral:rRNA from 1 species